rnacentral:tRNA from 1 species
GCCGAAGUGGCGAAACUGGCAGACGCACAUGCCUUAGGAGCAUGUUGGGAUAAUUCCCAGUGCAGGUUCAACUCCUGUCUUCGGCA